GAUGAACGCUGGCGGCGUGCCUAAUACAUGCAAGUCGAGCGAACGGACGAGAAGCUUGCUCCUCUGAUGUUAGCGGCGGACGGGAGAGUAACACGUGGAUAACCUACCUCUAAGACUGGGAUAACUUCGGGAAACCGGAGCUAAUACCGGAUGAUAUUUUGAACCGCAUGGUUCAAAAGUGAAAGACGGUCUUGCUGUCACUUAUAGAUGGCUCCGCCCUGCAUUAGCUAGUUGGUAAGGUAACGGCUUACCAAGGCAACGAGGCAUAGCCGACCUGAGAGGGUGGUCGGCCACACGGGAACUGAGACACGGUCCAGACGCCGACGGUAGGCAGCAGUAGGGAAUCUUCCGCAAUGGGCGAAAGCCUGACGGAGCAACGCCGCGUGAGUGAUGAAGGUCUUCUGAUCGGAAAACUCUGUUAUUAGGGAAGAACAUAUGUGUAAGUAACUGUGCACAUCUUGACGGUACCUAAUCAGAAAGCCACGGCUAACUACGUG
rnacentral:rRNA from 1 species